rnacentral:tRNA from 1 species
AAAUAAGAAUUGAUAUAUCAUAUAUGAUUUCGGCUCAUACUUAGGUGUUAAUAUGCCCUUAUUUA